AGAGUUUGAUCCUGGCUCAGGACGAACGCUGGCGGCGUGCUUAACACAUGCAAGUCAAGGAGAACGGAUUCUUCGGGAUACUAGUAAACUGGCGAACGGGUGAGUAACACGUAGGUAAUCUACCCUGGAGAUUGGGAUAACUCCGGGAAACCGGAGCUAAUACCGAAUAAUGCAGCGAAUCCAUAGGGAUAUGUUGUUAAAGCGGGCUUCGGCUCGCACUUCGAGAUGGGCCUGCGGCCGAUUAGCUUGUUGGUGAGGUAAUGGCUCACCAAGGCGAUGAUCGGUAGCUGGUCUGAGAGGAUGAUCAGCCACACUGGGAUUGAGAUACGGCCCAGACUCCUACGGGAGGCAGCAGUGGGGAAUUUUGCGCAAUGGACGAAAGUCUGACGCAGCAACGCCGCGUGAUUGAUGAAGCUUUUAGGAGUGUAAAGAUCUGUCGUGAGGGAAGAAAAACCUGGAUGUAAAUAAUGUUCAGGCGUGACGGUACCUCACAAGAAAGCACCGGCUAACUUCGUGCCAGCAGCCGCGGUAAUACGAGGGGUGCUAGCGUUGUCCGGAAUUACUGGGCGUAAAGGGUCCGUAGGCGUCUUGACAAGUUGAUCGUUAAAUCCACCGGCUCAACCGGUGAUCUGCGGUCAAAACUUGCAGGAUAGAAUAUGUGAGAGGAAAGUAGAAUUCCUGGUGUAGCGGUGACAUGCGUAGAUAUCAGGAGGAACACCAAUGGCGAAGGCAGCUUUCUGGCACAAUAUUGACGCUGAGGGACGAAAGCGUGGGGAGCGAACAGGAUUAGAUACCCUGGUAGUCCACGCCGUAAACGAUGAGUGCUAGUUGUCGGGCAGCUUGCUGUUCGGUGACGCAGCUAACGCGUUAAGCACUCCGCCUGGGGAGUACGGUCGCAAGAUUAAAACUCAAAGGAAUUGACGGGGGCCCGCACAAGUGGUGGAGCAUGUGGUUUAAUUCGAAGCAACGCGAAGAACCUUACCAGCCCUUGACAUACCUGUCGCGAUUUCCAGAGAUGGAUUUCUUCGGUUCGGCCGGACAGGAUACAGGUGCUGCAUGGCUGUCGUCAGCUCGUGUCGUGAGAUGUUGGGUUAAGUCCCGCAACGAGCGCAACCCUCGCUAUCAGUUGCCAGCAUUUAGUUGGGCACUCUGAUGGAACUGCCGGUGAUAAGUCGGAGGAAGGUGGGGAUGACGUCAAGUCCUCAUGGCCCUUACGGGCUGGGCUACACACGUGCUACAAUGGCGGAUACAGUGGGGUGCUACCUCGCAAGAGGAUGCUAAUCCCUAAAAUCCGUCUCAGUUCGGAUUGUGCUCUGCAACUCGAGAGCAUGAAGUCGGAAUCGCUAGUAAUCGUGGAUCAGCAUGCCACGGUGAAUACGUUCCCGGGCCUUGUACACACCGCCCGUCACACCAUGGGAGUUGGUUUUACCCGAAGACGGUGAGCGAACCUUCGGGACGCAGCCGGCCACGGUAAGGUCAGCGACUGGGGUGAAGUCGUAACAAGGUAACC
rnacentral:rRNA from 1 species